UCUCGGCGCUCCGUCGAGGAGAGUGGCGUCGUAGCGGAGAGUGGUGUGGGCUUGUCCCCAGUUGGCUGUCUGUUAGCCCUUCUCCAAACUUAGGCCACUAGGCCCUGGGGCGGUGAAUGUCCGUCUUUCCCCUCUCAUUUGCCCACCCACCGCGGUGGAUCUAAUGCUGCCUCGUGAAGUGGCCACAGUGCUUUAUGGCAGCGGUACCGCUUCCUUAAACAGGCCUUGGGAGCAAGUGGCUGCACACUGCCCUCUCACCAUCAUAGGAAAGAAAAUGUGUAAGCCAGCAUAAGAAAGAAAAAUCAGCUAUGGAUAUCCUGUGUUACAAAUUUGGCCUGUGACGACUGAGGAGAGAGUCUAGGACGCAAAGUAUAGAAUUACAAAGGAUAUUUUCACCGUCCAGGGGCUGCAGGCAGCAAGUGGAGCUGAAGGUGCGCCUCACCCAGUUUUGGUGAUCAGCUCCCCUUGGUUGUGUCCGGCACUGGGCGAUUGAUUGGGUUCCUGAGACUGUCCAAGAAACAGAUGAGUGGCAGACCAGGGAUGUCCGUGAAGAGUCCACAGGGAAGGACCACUGAAAAUCUCACUGGUGGGUAAAAUGGGAUCUUCGGGGAGUAAACCUGGGAGGGUACCCAUGGAGGGUAGCACAAGUAAAUCUGAGAGGGCACCCAUGAAGAUAGCAAAGGUAAAGCUGGGAAGAGGCCCUGGCAAAAGGGAUGACGAUCUCAAAAUAUCUCCAAAGAAUCCCUUGGAAGAAUGUGGAGUUGGUUUACACAUUCUUACAGAAGUAAAGACAUGGAUGCCCAAAGGGAGCAAUAAGGGCAAGUCAAGAAAGGGUCUUAACAAUCCAUGCCCAGGGGAGCAAUAUGGGGAGUCAAGGAGUUUUGACAACAGGAGAUGGACAAAUAGUGUUGAUAUGUUGAGAAAAGAUUAGUUGAAGGGGAAUGUAGUGAGAUAUGGUUGAGGCAAGGAGCAGCAGGACCGGACGUGGAAGUGCGGGACUGGGAGCACGGGCUGGGGGCCUGUGGGGGCUGUGGGGCAGCCGAGGCUCAGCGCCAGGCAGUGCCUGACCCCACCACCCCCGGGCAGGGGCAGCAGUGGCUGCUGGCCCCCAUGAGUGGCUGCUGGCCCCCAUGAGGCUGCGGGAUGCCCCGGCUUCCUGUGGUGCUGCCGGCUGUGCCCGCUAGGAGUGCACGGGGGGAGGGGGGGGAGCCAUUUGGACACUGGUAUACAGUGUGCGAUAAAGAGAGUGAGCACAAGGAGGAGAACCUAUCUGGGAAAUGCAGAUUGUAUGUGGAAGGAUAAGGAUUUUCUUUUAAGGAUUUUGUUUGGUUCACUGGAAAAAUUAGUGGUUUUGAGCUGUGGGAAAAUGAGUAUCCACAGGCAGUAUUGGGGGGACUAGAGAAAGAACAGAAUAAGUCCCUGGAUGAACUGAUUAGAAAGGUACAGCAAGUGUAUAUAAGAAGGGAUGAGGAAAAAGCAAAGGCAAAGGUGAUAUAGCAGAGUUUUUAUGGCCCCAGAGGGAUAAACUGCAGGACCUAAGGGGUUCCCCGGGAUAGAAGGGACAGAGUUGACCACAAAGAAGUGGCAAAAGCAUUCCCUCCUCAGCAGGGGAGAGCCAACCCAGACAUUGGUUGGGGAGAAAUCAGUGUGCUAUCUUCAGGGCAGAGGGACACUAGAAGCAGGAAUGUCUGCAGAAACAACUGGAUCCUCAGGAGGCGGAAGUCCAGAGGAUAAUGGAGAUAGAUUGUUAGGGGUGUCAGGGGCUCCCAUUAUACCAGGGACCCACCACACUGGAGCCCUUGCUAACUUUUAAGGUGGGUCCAGAUUGAGAGGAGCUGUGUUUCCUGGUAGACACAGGGGCCUCUAAAUCCACCUUGAAUUUUAUCCCUAAGGGGGGAAAAUUGUCAAAAAUAUGUUUGAUUAUUCAAGGGGUGGGUGGAAAGGAUGAGCGAGUGCAUUUUAUUCAACUGCUUUUAGUAGAUGUGGGGGAUAGGUUUGAAAUGCAUGAAUUCCUGUUUGUUCCUAAUUGUGAUUGUAAUUUACUGGCAAGGGAUAUGAUGGCUAAAGUGGGAAUACAAAUUAGUAUUGUGUAAAAUGAUACAGAGUGUAACACUGGUGACUUUGUGUAAAAUGUCUGAGAAGGCUUAUGCUGAAAUAAAGUCAGAAAUGUGAGCAGCCCCAGGGAAAUACAGAAGAUUUUA